CAUUGUGGGAAGAAGACCAAAAGUUUAUUGGUGUUCAGGAAUGUCACAGUGAGUCAACAUCAAAGCUGCCUGAAGGUUUGUCCAGAGGUGGACAAAAUAACAGCGUUUAAAACAGCUCUGCAGCCAAACAGCCGUUUGGUCGAUUCUGCUUCUUGUUUUAAGGUCACAUGAGAGCCUCCAGAAACAAGCAGCUUCAUUAAAUAUUACAACAACUAACAGUUUUUCACUUUUCAGAAAAGUGUGAGUAUUAUUUAUGUUAAUUUUGUUCCGAAAAAGACCAAAAUGUCAAAAUGAGGACUUCAGCUGCUUUCAAAUUUGAGUCUCGCAGCUGGAUUUGGAGAUUUGAGUUUGUCAGGCUUUAAAAACACUUGAAAGGCUCUGAUCACAGAAAAACACGUCACAUUUCAACUUUUAAACAAGCAGAAGAAUUCUUCUUUUUACAGUUUAACAUCAUGUUUGGGAGCAAAGCUGUAAAUCUGAUCAUUUUGAUCCAUUUUUACGUGUCGUGUUCGAUACAAACUCACAGGACGUUGGAAUUAAAUCAAGAAACAUUAAUUAUUUAUCAUCUUUUCAGCCCCAGAUGUGGCACAGCUGCUCCCAGAUGUUCGUUUCCUGCUUUUAAUUGUUAAAUAAAAUGUUAUCUGACAACCAGAAAUGUUCUAUUUUGCAAGAAUCAUCCGGAGAGUCCUGCAUGCUUGAUUCUGACACAGAUUUUGCCCCGAUUUAAAUUUUUGUCUCAUAUAUUUAACUUUGAUUAUUUUAACAAACAGAACCUUUAAAAAUGAAACUUUGCUGCAGAGCUGCUCAACGUCUUUGUGAUUUGAUCCACCUGCUGCACUUCUCUUCAUUAACAGACGCAUUUUAAACACUUUUGGACACAAAUGUAAAAGAAUAAUUCGAUCCUCUUUUUUCUUUUUGGAUUAAAACACACUUUUCCCAAACUGUAAAUCACAUGUAAUGUUUUCUGCGUCGCUCAGACUCACAAACUUCAUGACAAACAGCACAGUGAGUGAAACAAAUCAAAGCUGAACUGCAUAUAAAAGUAUAUACACACAGUAAUAUACACACUGAGCUCCAUGUCACCCAACUUUCUGUUUGUUUCCUGUUUAAAGGGAAAAAUAAUGUUUUCUGCUCAACCUGUGAUGGAACCAAAGAGGAUCAGAGCCGCUGGAGAAAAUUAAAGCUCUUUGAGGUUUCUUUAAAAGAAGUCAGAAUUUCUAGUUUCAACUUAAAAUUCAGGAAUUUUUGUCUGAAUUCUGACUUUUUGGCUCCAAAUUCUGAAUUUCCUGUCAGAACUGAGACACUUUUUUUGAAUACAAACUUUAAAAGUCAGAAUUCAGAUUUUUCUCUUUUUGAAUCCGGACUUCAAAAGUUAGAAUUCAGGUCAGAAUCCUGAUGUUACUCUCAAAACUC
ensembl:lncRNA